UUGAAUACGAUUGGCAACUGAUGCUGGCUCUUAACUGGGCAUGUGCUCGUUCCAUCUAUUUAUCUUCUCUUGUGCACAUCUUGUAGUCUUUGGAAAAGUGAACCUCUCGCAGCAAUGCGGUUUGGGGGAAUGGGUCUUGUUGCCCUUCCCCUGCUUGCUUCUUCCAAGGCUAUGUUUUCAUAUACACUAUAAAGUUACAGAAUGUCUUUUAACGAUUGUGCUUGUCGCAGUCAUUAAACCUAUA
rnacentral:misc_RNA from 1 species